rnacentral:rRNA from 1 species
GACGAACGCUGGCGGCGUGCUUAACACAUGCAAGUCGAACGGAAAGGCCCUGCUUUUGUGGGGUGCUCGAGUGGCGAACGGGUGAGUAACACGUGAGUAACCUGCCCUUGACUUUGGGAUAACUUCAGGAAACUGGGGCUAAUACCGGAUAGGAGCUCCUGCUGCAUGGUGGGGGUUGGAAAGUUUCGGCGGUUGGGGAUGGACUCGCGGCUUAUCAGCUUGUUGGUGGGGUAGUGGCUUACCAAGGCUUUGACGGGUAGCCGGCCUGAGAGGGUGGCCGGCCACAUUGGGACUGAGAGAAGGCCCAGACUCCUACGGGGGGCAGCAGUGGGGGAAAUUACAGCAUGGGCGCAACCCUGGUGCAGCAACGCCACGUGCGCGAUGACGGCAUUCAUGUUGUAAGCCGCUCUCGCCUGUACAGAAACGUACGUCACGGUAAUGGGUAACGAAGCCACGGCUACCUACGUG